rnacentral:RNase_P_RNA from 1 species
GCAGUCAAUCGGUCUGUCGCUUUUUCAUUUAUGAAAUGGAGGAAAGUCCGGACAACACAGAGCGCCCUGCUAUUUAACGGAUAGAUGUUUGCGAAAGCAUAGUUAAGUAGAAGAAAAUAACCGCCUGCCGCAGUGCAGGUAAGGGUGAGAAGGUAAGGUAAGAACUUACCGGUUCUUGUAGUGAUGCAGGAUACCGUACAACUCGGGGGUUGCAAGGUCAUAUAUACCGGCGCAGUAGGAUUGCUCGUCCGAUGUCGGGGGGUAGACCGCUGGAAUUUGUCGGCAACGGCAAAUCGAGAUAAAUGACAGACAUUCCGCAAGGAAUACAGAAUCCGGCUUACAGAUUGACUGCGUUU